AACGAACGCUGGCGGCAUGCCUAACACAUGCAAGUCGAUCGAGACCUUCGGGUCUAGUGGCGCACGGGUGCGUAACGCGUUGGAACCUGCCCUUAGGUUCGGAAUAACUCCCCGAAAGGGGUGCUAAUACCGGAUAAUGUCUUCGGACCAAAGAUUUAUCGCCUUUGGAUGGGCCCGCGUUGGAUUAGCUAGUUGGUAGGGUAAAAGCCUACCAAGGCGACGAUCCAUAGCUGGUCUGAGAGGAUGAUCAGCCACACUGGGACUGAGACACGGCCCAGACUCCUACGGGAGGCAGCAGUGGGGAAUAUUGGACAAUGGGCGAAAGCCUGAUCCAGCAAUGCCGCGUGAGUGAUGAAGGCCUUAGGGUUGUAAAGCUCUUUUACCCGGGAUGAUAAUGACAGUACCGGGAGAAUAAGCUCCGGCUAACUCCGUG
rnacentral:rRNA from 1 species